CACUGACAACAUGCUGGGGACCCUCUGCACUCUCAUCACUGCUCUAACAUAUGUUGAUGCAGCCAAAGUGCUGACCCAGACGCCUGCUGUCCACACAGUUUCUACAGGACAACAAGUUGUUCUCAACUGCAACAUUGAGAGAGAUGAUAGAUAUUAUGUCAGCUGGUAUAAACAGGUUCCUGGUGAAGUUCCUCAGUAUGUUGUGAGUUUCUACCAUAACAGCGCACACAACUUUGGAUCAGGAUUCUCCUCAGACAGAUUCAACUGUAAAUCCACAUCAAACAUAGAUUACCAGUUCAUCAUAAAGCAGACAGAGACAGGAGACUCUGCUGUCUAUUACUGUCGGACAUGGGAUGACUCUGCUAAGGAGAACGUAUUCGGACAAGGCACCAAGCUGAUUGUGACAA